rnacentral:rRNA from 1 species
CCUACGGGCGGCAGCAGUGAGGAAUAUUGGUCAAUGGACGAGAGUCUGAACCAGCCACGUAGCGUGAAGGAUGACUGCCCUAUGGAUUGUAAACUUCUUUUAUAUGGGAAUAAAUUGUUCUACGUGUGGGAUUUUGUAUGUACCAUAUCAUUCAGGCUCGGCUAACUCCGUGCAAGCAGCCGCGGUAAUACGGAGGAUCCGAGCGUUAUCCGGAUUUAUUGGGUUUAAAGGGUGCGUAGGUGGAUUGUUAAGUCAGUUGUGAAAGUUGGCGGCUCAACCGUAGAAUUGCAGUUGAAACUGGCAGGCUUGAGUGCAGUAGAGGUAAGCGGAAUUCGUGGUGUAGCGGUGAAAUGCUUAGAUAUCACGAAGAACUCCGAUGGCGAAGGCAGCUCACUGGACUGCAACUGACACUGAGGCUCGAAAGUGUGGGUAUCAAACAGGAUUAGAUACCCUUGUAGUC